UUUUAUUUUGCGUGGCACACCUCAAUUUAUUCUAAUUAAAGCAUUUCUAAACUAAUUAGUGAGGGCCAUAUGUGAACGACGAAAUCAAUAAGGCCUGAUUUUCAAGUUCAGAAAAUUGGAUUACAUUUGGUGUGAAGUCCACCAGUUUAACAAAAUCAUCAAGGUGAGAAACUUUGGACCUCAUGACCUGCUAUGUUUGGGCCCAAAAGGACGAUCAUGAAGUAUGCCCAAAACAGUCUUCACAAAAGGGGUUAGCUUCGAACCCCCGUGACAACUAUCAGACUAACACCUUUAUAGCAAUUAGAAUACACACGACAGCUCAACCUGACAUCUUAAUACACAUAAACAAUCACGAAGUACCAAUAUUAUGCAUAAAGAUAAUCAAAAUUUAGUGCUAUUUGUGAGACCUCUUGAAUCAUACUUGUACUAGAAACAUAAUACAUUAACAAUUCACUCAUUAUCACCUUGGUAUGUAACAUAUAGUGUCAUACGAAAUAUCUUAGCAAAACUCCAUUUGAAUGGUUUCCAGAAUACGCAAGCAAGUAAUUCAGUUUCUCUAAUCUAUAUUAGUCAUUUCCAUAAACACGAAUAAUGAAUGCAUCCUAAAAAAAGCAUACAUUAACUUCAAGCAUGACUGAAAACAGAUCUAAACAUGUACGAGUCAAUUGAUUCAUCUAAUACCAUAACUCCCAUAAAUUAACAUUCAGGUCACAUCAUCAGCAACCAAAUUCACAAUUAUGGCCAACAUUCAACCAAUAGCAGGCCAAAGGUUGACAAGCUGUAGUCAGAUUAAACUUGACAGUAUAGGACCUGACUCAAAAAAAUGGAAUAAAAUUGAGCACAUAAGCCUAGAUCUAACACUACUGUCAGUAUCAUAUAUUGAAAUCAUAAUAAAACCACACUUAGUUAUCUACAAAAAUGUAAGCAAUCGUUUACAGCCCAUCCCUGGUAAUUACAUAAGAAUCAUGGAUUGAAAAGAAAAGAAGAACCGAGGAUUUAACAAUAUGGCGUCAAACUUCACUUCAUUCAAACUUGUAGUUCAAGUUAUACGUCAAGUAAUGUCCAUGGAGUUUUGGAGAAUACUUGGUAUAGCAAAUAAACAAGGAAAAUCUGAGGUUAAGAGGGAUCGAACAGCAGUAACCCAACAUCAGCAAUUCUAACAAUUAAAACCCAAGAAAUCAACUCAAGACCCAAAGAAUGAGAUCAAUUCAAACAAAAUUCAACUCUCAAACCAGCAAUCGAAAUUCGAACCAGACACGAACCAAAACAUUUAGAAACCCUCUGAUUCAAACCAUUUUUACCCUCAAUUACUCAAAACUAACUCAAAAUUAAUAUCCGAAGGAUUCCCAAAGAUUUCCCAAUAUAACAUUGAUUUUUCUAUGUAUUUUAGUUGUCUGAUUUUUGUAUAUUUUUUCUAUGACUUUCAGAAUAUCCAAAAAAACUGCCUUUCAAGGCAAGAAAACGUGCCUUUAUAGGCAAGGCAAGUAGGGCAGCCUUAGGUUUUCAGUACUACACCUUACCCCUUUUUGAAUUUUCGUUUUUUCUUAGCUAACUUUAGUUAAAAAUCAGAAGCUCAGAGAAUGCCCCUACCCUAGCUUCCUAGAAGCUUCCUUUUCAGUUACUGAAAGAUUCCCCUUCCUAUGUUCCCUAUAUUAACUCCCAAACCCUAUGUUUUUACCUCCUAAAACCAGAUAGAUAUGGAUCAUGAGCCAAAUUGACCCAAUGGUUUAAACUAAGAUGAAUGGGCGGCCCCUUGCAAAUGGGUCAGACACGACCCAAAGCCCAAACUAAGGUCCGUAUUAUGAAGAAAGUGGGAGAAAAAGGAAAAUCCAAUCAAAUAACUUCAAGACUAAACUUAACAAGAUGAAUAAUUACCAAAUACAAAGAGCGUGAAACUAACUAAAUUAUUAGAUAGAAAUAAACCUAACUAAACUAUGAGGAUAAAGAGAGGGAAAGUCAGGAACUUAAAGCCUAAAUUAAACAAAACGGACAAACAAAAUCACGGUACAACUUGUGGAAUUUUGAAAUCAAAGAAAUGUAGAAGAAGAGAAGAAGAACAAGAGAUAACCAUGGACACAAAAGAAAGAAAACUCACCAAGCAACACUCGAAGCCAACACUAGAAUCCUUGAUUUAACGAAACUGAUGCUAUUCAUUUAUUCUUUGUCAAGAACAAGUGAAAAACAUCGAUUUUGUGUUAAAUAGAUCUUUCAAAAUGUGAAAUGUAACGGCCUAGGCCAGUGCACGCCACAACAUCGAGGGAAGGCAAUUUUGGGUUUUAGGGUUUCGAAUUGGAUUUAUAAUUCAAGAAGCUUUGUGAGGAUUUGAGGGAAACCAACUGCAGAUUAGGGAAUAGGGAGUCAUGGGGGUUCUAUGGUGUAUAUUUGGUAAGGUUUGAAAAUGGCGCCGCAACCUCAUUGCGGAAGAGAAUAGGGGCGGCGGGCGAGGGUUCAUCUGAGAUAAAGCAAAAGACUAAGUGAACUAAUGGGG
rnacentral:lncRNA from 1 species